rnacentral:lncRNA from 1 species
AAUUUUAACUUUAAUUUUAAUUUUAAUUUUAAUUCUAUUAUAGGUGAUCCACAAUCAAUUCAGAACCUGGUCUUCUAUGGUGGCUCACAGUUCCUGCACCCUACAAUAUCGUGAAUUUUCUUCCUCUUCAUCUAAUGACAUGAAUAUGCUCCAGUGGAUCCUAGGAUAUCUUUCACAUGAGGUUACCCUUGCCCUUUGGAUGUCAGGUGGAACAAAGGGAUGGAAGAUUUUUUGUACUGGGACAUUCAGUAAACCCCUAGGCCUACCUAUUGUCUAGUCAGAGUUAGAGAAGCAAAUGAUGUCUGUGAGGGCCUACAAGGCACAAGAGGAUGAAAGUUUAACUUAAAGUUUAGAUGCUGAUAUUCUAGCUAGUAAUAAUGUAUGAUUGCCUCAUGUACUACUCUUUUUUUAUAUUUCUCUCCUAAUGUAUAAAGAUGGAUUUCAAAAGAUAGGCAGCCUGGGAUUCAAAUUCUGAUCAUCUUUUCACUUUGUAAACUAAUGGAUAUAUUUUUUUAAAACAUUGUGUUUAAUGCACGCCAAUGCCAAAGGCUUUUUACAGACUCAUGCGGAGUGGGAUGAUGCCCAGAAUGUCGAUAAAUUGACAGAAUAAUAUGAAGAACCCAACAGUCAUGUGCCAUGAAUUCUGCAGGCACAUUUGGACAUGAGGGUGAGCCAGAAGAUCAUUCUAUUUGGGAAAAUUUAAAUUGGGUGCAAGAAGCAUUAGCUAACAGUCUGAACCAAGGUAUGAUCCAAACUGAUAAAACUUGAUGAAGUUGGAAGAAGCAAAAGGGAGUUGGUAUGGAUCCUCAGAAUAAGACAGAAACACAAGGAGUUUCAAGGGCAUUUGACAACAUGAAGUGCCAGCUAUAUUAGGGCACAGCAGAAAAAAAAUGUUUUCUGGACAGACUUAAUUUCUGAAGUGCCUUCUCCUCUUA